GACGAACGCUGGCGGCGUGCCUAAUACAUGCAAGUCGAACGAAGCGGCGGAUGGGUGAGAAACGCGUGGGUAACCUGCCCUUAAGUCUGGGAUACUAGUUGGAAACAGAUGCUAAUACCGGAUACUAAAGGAUGGACCUGUGAUGGAUUAGCUAGUUGGUAAGGUAACGGCUUACCAAGGCGAUGAUGCAUAGCCGGGUUGAGAGGCUGAUCGGCCACAUUGGGACUGAGACACGGCCCAAACUCCUACGGGAGGCAGCAGUGGGGAAUAUUGCACAAUGGGCGCAAGCCUGAUGCAGCCAUGCCGCGUGUAUGAAGAAGGCCUUCGGGUUGUAAAGUACUUUCAGCGAGGAGGCGUUUUCCGCAGAAGAAGCACCGGCUAACUCCGUGCCAGCCGCCGCGGUAAUAC
rnacentral:rRNA from 1 species